GCGCUGGUUAUAUAUCACAGAGGGGAAGGCGGAACAUGGCAUCGUCAUCGAAUUCUCCAUGUGCAGCCUGCAAGUUCCUGAGGAGAAAAUGCCAACCGGAAUGCGUCUUUGCCCCGUAUUUUCCACCGGACCAGCCCCAAAAAUUCGCCAACGUGCACAAAGUGUUUGGAGCAAGCAAUGUCACAAAACUACUAAACGAGUUGCACCCCUCCCAGCGAGAGGAUGCCGUGAAUUCCUUGGCAUAUGAGGCCGAUAUGCGUCUUCGUGACCCAGUCUACGGCUGCGUUGGGGUCAUCUCUCUUUUGCAG
rnacentral:misc_RNA from 1 species